rnacentral:rRNA from 1 species
GAUGAACGCUGGCGGCGUGCCUAAUACAUGCAAGUCGAGCGAACGGACGAUAAGCUUGCUUUUCUGAUGUUAGCGGCGGACGGGUGAGUAACACGUGGAUAACCUACCUAUAAGACUGGGAUAACUUCGGGAAACCGGAGCUAAUACCGGAUAAUAUUUUGAACCGCUUGGUUCAAAAGUGAAAGACGGUCUUGCUGUCACUUAUAGAUGGUUCCGGGCUGCAUUGGCUAGUUGGUAAGGUAACGGCUUACCAAGGCAACGAUGCAUAGCCGACCUGAGAGGGUGAUCGGCAACACUGGAACGGAGACACGGUCCAGACUCCUAGGGGAGGCAGCAGUAGGGAAUCUUCCGCAAUGGGCGAAAGCAUGACGGAGCAAAGCCGCGUGAGAGAUGAAGGGCUUAGGAUCGUAAAACUCUGUUAUUAGGGAAGAAAAGAUGUGGAAGUAACGGUGCACAGCUUGACGGUACCUAAUCAGAAAGCCACGGCUAACUACGUG